AGGGGUAGAGCUCAGUGGUAGAGCACGUGCUUAGCAUGCACCAGGUCCUGAGUUCAAUCCCCAGUACCUCCA
rnacentral:tRNA from 1 species